rnacentral:rRNA from 1 species
UAGUCCACGCCGUAAACGAUGAGUACUAGCUAUUGGAGGUAUUGACUCCUUCAGUGGCGCAGCUAACGCAUUAAGUACUCCGCCUGGGAAGUACGGUCGCAAGACUAAAACUCAAAGGAAUUGAUGGGGGCCCGCACAAGCGGUGGAUUAUGUGGUUUAAUUCGAAGCAACGCGCAGAACCUUACCAAGGCUUGAAAUCCUAGGAAUCCGAUGUAAUGGUCGGAGUGCUCGCAAGAGAAUCUAGUGACAGGUGCUGCAUGGCUGUCGUCAGCUCGUGUUGUGAAAUGUUGGGUUAAGUCUCGCAACGAGCGCAACCCCUAUCUUUAGUUGCCAGCAUUAAGUUGGGCACUCUAGAGAGACUGCCCGGGUUAACCGGGAGGAAGGUGGGGAUGACGUCAAGUCCUCAUGGCCCUUAUGCCUUGGGCUACACACGUAAUACAAUGGUGCAUACAAAGGGAAGCAACCCCGCGAGGGUGAGCAAAUCUCAAAAAGUGCAU